GAUGAACGCUGGCGGCGUGCUUAACACAUGCAAGUCGAACGAGAAGUGGAGACGGAAACCUUCGGGCGGAAGACUUUAGUUCGAGUGGCGGACGGGGGAGUAACGCGUGGGUAACCUGCCUCAUACAGGGGGAUAACAGUUGGAAACGACUGUUAAUACCGCAUAAGACCACAGCACCGCAUGGUGCGGGGGUAAAAACUCCGGUGGUAUGAGAUGGACCCGCGUUCGAUUAGCCAGUUGGCGGGGUAACGGCCCACCAAAGCGACGAUCGAUAGCCGAUCUGAGAGGAUGACCGGCCACAUUGGGGCUGAGCCACGGCCCAAACUCCUACGGGAGGCAGCAGUGGGGGAUAUUGCACAAUGGGGGAAACCCUGAUGCAGCGACGCCGCGUGAGUGAAGAAGUAUUUCGGUAUGUAAAGCCCUAUCAGCAGGGAAGAAAAUGACGGUACCUGAGCAAGAAGCCCCGGCUAACUACGUG
rnacentral:rRNA from 1 species